rnacentral:rRNA from 1 species
CCUACGGGAGGCAGCAGUGAGGAAUAUUGGUCAAUGGCCGGGAGGCUGAACCAGCCAAGUCGCGUGAGGGAAGACGGCCCUACGGGUUGUAAACCUCUUUUGUCAGGGAGCAAGGGGCGGGUCGAGACCUGCUGUGAGAGUACCUGAAGAAAAAGCAUCGGCUAACUCCGUGCCAGCAGCCGCGGUAAUACGGAGGAUGCGAGCGUUAUCCGGAUUUAUUGGGUUUAAAGGGUGCGCAGGCGGAGGCACAAGUCAGCGGUAAAAUCGCGGGGCUCAACCCCGCCCCGCCGUUGAAACUGGGGCCC